rnacentral:rRNA from 1 species
GAUGAACGCUGGCGGCGUGCCUAAUACAUGCAAGUCGAGCGAACAGAUGAGGAGCCUGCUCCUCUGACGUUAGCGGCGGACGGGUGAGUAACACGUGGAUAACCUACCUAUAAGACUGGGAUAACUUCGGGAAACCGGAGCUAAUACCGGAUAAUAUAUUGAACCGCAUGGUUCAAUAGUGAAAGACGGUUUUGCUGUCACUUAUAGAUGGAUCCGCGCCGCAUUAGCUAGUUGGUAAGGUAACGGCUUACCAAGGCGACGAUGCGUAGCCGACCUGAGAGGGUGAUCGGCCACACUGGAACUGAGACACGGUCCAGACUCCUACGGGAGGCAGCAGUAGGGAAUCUUCCGCAAUGGGCGAAAGCCUGACGGAGCAACGCCGCGUGAGUGAUGAAGGUCUUCGGAUCGUAAAACUCUGUUAUUAGGGAAGAACAAAUGUGUAAGUAACUAUGCACGUCUUGACGGUACCUAAUCAGAAAGCCACGGCUAACUACGUG